GACGAACGCUGGCGGCGUGCUUAACACAUGCAAGUGGAGCGACGAACCAGGGCUUGCCCUGGGGCAGAGCCGCGAACGGGUGAGUAACACGUGGGUAACCUGCCCAGAUGACCGGGACAACCCGAGGAAACUCGGGAUAGUACCGGACGUGCUGUCCCCACAUCAGUGGGGUUAGGAAAGGUAGCUUCGGCUUCCGCAUCUGGAUGGGCCCGCGGCCCAUUAGCUUGGUGGUGAGGUAACGGCUCCCCAAGGCUUCGAUGGGUAGCUUGUCGGAGAGGACGAUCAGCCACACUGGGAGUGAGACACGGCCCGGACUCCUACGGGAGGAAGCAGUGGGGAAUCUUGCGCAAUGCGCGAAAGCGUGACGCAGCAACGCCGCGUGCGGGAAGACGGCCUUCGGGUUGUAAACCGCUUUCAGUUGGGACGAAGCCUUUGCGGUUAAUAGCCGUGGAAGGUGACGGUACCUUCAGAAGAAGCCCCGGCUAACUACGUGCCAGCAGCCGCAGUAA
rnacentral:rRNA from 1 species